rnacentral:rRNA from 1 species
GAUGAACGCUGGCGGCGUGCCUAAUACAUGCAAGUCGAGCGAAUGGAUUAAGAGCUUGCUCUUAUGAAGUUAGCGGCGGACGGGUGAGUAACACGUGGGUAACCUGCCCAUAAGACUGGGAUAACUCCGGGAAACCGGGGCUAAUACCGGAUAACAUUUUGAACCGCAUGGUUCGAAAUUGAAAGGCGGCUUCGGCUGUCACUUCUGGAUGGACCCGCGUCGCAUUAGCUAGUUGGUGAGGUAACGGCUCACCAAGGCAACGAUGCGUAGCCGACCUGGGAGGGUGAUCGGCCACACUGGGACUGAGACACGGCCCAGACUCCUACGUGAGGCAGCAGUAGGGAAUCUUCCGCAAUGGACGAAAGUCUGACGGAGCAACGCCGCGUGAGUGAUGAAGGCUUUCGGGUCGUAAAACUCUGUUGUUAGGGAAGAACAAGUGCUAGUUGAAUAAGCUGGCACCUUGACGGUACCUAACCAGAAAGCCACGGCCAACUACGUGCCAGCCGCCGCGGUAA